rnacentral:antisense_RNA from 18 species
GGCCGUAGUAAGGGGAUUUUUUGGUGUGACUAGUCGCCUAUUCGUCAUUACGCUUGCGUAGCCAAUGCGCAAAUAUCGCAACGAGACAAC